UUUUAUUUUCCAUUUACAUCUCAGACAUUCAGCUGAUACCAUAAGCGUCUAGUCUUUACAAGAGUUUUUUUGUCUGAGAUUUUUGACUGAAUCCAUUUCCAGUCCAUUUUUGUUUUUACAAAUACUGUUUCAUUUUCUUGUCUGUCUGUCUAGAUUUCAGCAGGAACAAUGGCACACAGCAUUGGUAACAGCAUGGUAGCAAGGACAUUUACGUUGGAAACAACAAAGGGAAGAUUGGCGUUGAUGAUGUCAUCAAUAUUAGCGGAAGAACAGGAUCCCAGCCAAAUACUGGCAACUCAUGUAACACGGGAGGUGGAAGUGGAUUCAACUCUGCAUCCACUGCUUCAGGGAACACCAGCACUGCGAGGGAGGUAACAUCAGAGGUAACACAAGUAACAUGACAGUUGGAGACAAUGCAGGAGACAUUGGCCAAAGAACACCUGCAAUGUGAGCGGAGGAAAAGGAGUCAAAGUAGAUAUUGGCAACGUAAGAAAGAUGGAUGCCGGAUCCAACACAGGAGACAUCGGUGCAGGGAACAACUGCAAUGUAAUGGGAGGAGAAAGAGUCAAAAUAAGUAUUGGCAACAUAGGUUCCAUGGUAGUUGGAGACAACGCAGGGGGCAUUGGUGUGGGGAAAAACUGCAAUGUGAACAGAGGAAAAGGAGCUGAAAUUAAUAUUAGCAACGCAACAAACGCAUGGAUUGGGUUUAACUCCACAAUGUAAACAUGAACUAAUGAAAUCCCAGUCCAAAAGACCAUGGAACACCAAAAAAAACAAAAAAAACACCCCAAAUGAAAACCAAAUCAAGAAUUCUUUAUAAACUGUUGUGUGCCUUCUAUUGUCCCACAAUAAACUGUGUUGGAGAGAACUGUUUGAUUGUCU